AAUAGGUAAAGAAUCUUGUGGUACCAAAUUGGAAGUUUCCUGUGAUGAAGGUACUGGUGUACCUUGUUGAAGUCCUAGUUUCAUCCAAUUAGAACUCGGGAAUUGGGCUCUCUCCUAACGGGUACAAUCCAUUCUAUAAUUGGUCGGAAAUUAUAAUGGCAAGCAACACCAUUGGCUCGGGUAUCCAUUUUGGAAAAUGGUGUCCGUAAGGCGCGUUUCGUGUCAGAUGUUUUCCAAUUUAAUAAAAUUUCAGAUGGAUGAGAUCAACCCGACUACUUCGUCUGAAAAUAUGUGACCUAAACUGAUGUAGGAUUCGAAUAUGGUAAUAAAUUUAUGUUGGAUAAAAACACAACUGAUAAACGGGUUGUUUCAAUUUUGGGUAGAUAUUGCAUGAAUGGAGUUACACAAAGCGUUGUUGUUAUGAAUGAAGUUAAAUUAACUUGUGUAAAUCUGUUAUGAAUGAAGUUAAAUUAACUUGUGUAAAUCUGUUCAGACAUGCUCUGGGUGGUAUGUGGUUAUAAAAUUUAAUUCCUGAAUCAAUAAGUUAUAUUUCAAGAAUAAAUAUAAUCUUUAUUUAUUAUAAAAAUCACUAAAUAUUAAACUGGCUUUCUUGUCAUCAAGUAAACUUAGUCUUAUUUCUCAUAUGAAAAAUGCAAAUCUAGAUAUAGUGUCGGGCAGUCACACGCUGAUAUUCCGCACUGCUGAUAUUUUUGCGUUUCUUUGAAAUUUUUCAGGUUUUUCCCCAGUAUUUUGGUAAUAAAUAAAUUUGUCUAGGGAAUCAACUACGGUAUUGGUCUUCAGGAUUUGGCAUUUAUUUUGUGCUUUAUAGUUCGUAAUUGAUAUUAGUUCGCACUUUACAUCAAAUUAAACUGUGUUCGCAUACUUCCGGUAUUAUUUAUUGAGCAAAUUGUGAAGACAUUGUUACACGGAUUGUUAUUGACAAGCUACGAAAAAGCGUAAAGGUGAUGGCGCCAUUAGAACGCUGCUGUGGCUCAAUUAAAAAACCUAGUCAACACAUUGACAUUUAGCGUCGAAUUAUUGGGAGCAGAUUUCACUUGACGUGAUUGCGUUACUUUUUUUUUUUUUUUGGUUAAAUUGCGUCCAUUUUGUCGUCGGAGCUUGGGUUAUUUGUCUGCUGGGUGAUAUAACUAGUUGAUGGAUAUAUCUGUUGAAGUUUGCUGAAACAUUUUGGCUAAAAAUCCCAUCAUAUUUUGUUUUCCGAUUGUUCACCCAUCUUGGGGCGAUCAAUUGAUUUAUAUUUUUCAGCCUCUCUAAAAAUGUAAAGUAUACGUCAUAGGUUUAUUCGUUGAUCGAUGGUGCACUUAAUGACACUAAAAGAGCUUAGUUCGACACAGAUCGGUGCUCAUUAAUUUAUUCAUUUGUGCAUUAAUUCGACGUUACACUGGAGAGCAUUGAAAUGCUAAUUAAGUUAAAUUGCUGAUACAUUUUCUGGUAAUGAGUUUUAGUAAAUCCGUAAACAGUCGCUUCAAUAUUUUUCUACGAUUUGAAACUGCAUAUGAAACAAAUGGUGCAGUGACGUUAUUGCUGUAUCCGUAUCGUGUUCUUUUGUUCCCAUCAAUUUCCUCUCUACUGAUAUCCGACGGCAAAUGCGAGACGCCAUUGUUGUCGUUAACUUUUCAAAAAGCGUUGAUGCUAGGUUAGGAUAGGAGAGAAGUUAACUGUGCAAUUUCCUCAAAGUUGAAAUUCCGCAUUUUACGUAAUAAAAGGGUUUCAGUGCAGUUUACGGGUCGUAAUCGGGCAGUGAAGUCAUGCAGUGCGAGUUUUGACAGUUUCGGUAGUUUUGGUUAAGAUUCAAUUCAACUUCCGCCAAAGAUGGCUAAUAACAAAAUCGGUAGCAACAGCAGCAGAUAAAGUGAAGGAAAAUCAACUGGAAAUGGAAGUGAAGUCGCAGAGCCAAAAAAGACGUUAGCCUCCAGUAAAUUUAUUCGACUGGGGACAAUCGUCUGGGCUAAGCUGGAUGGCUGGACUUGGUGGCCCGGGAUCGUUGUUACUCAUGACUGUGGGCUGCCUCCGAGAAAACCGACUAGUUACUGGAUAUUUUGGUUCGGCGGCCACCAGACUGUGUCCGAGGAAGUUAAAACAGAUGCCGGCGGAAAAACUAAGCGGUUUUCUAUAUGACAAUUUGGCCAGGCUGUUAAAUCAAGCUUACAACAGCGCCUCUAUGAAAGAGGAGUGUUGGAAGCCCUGCUGGUUUAAUACGACAACAAAUUUGUAUUCCAAUUCUUGACAUCAAACGUAUUUAAUUUUUUAAAAUCCACAGGCACUCGCCUUUAUUAGAGAUCAGACGAAAUUAGUUAAAGGCACGGCUGACAAAUUGAAAACGUGGGCCAUAAAACUCUUGGCGUCGUCAAAGAGCAACAACAGUCGAGAUGUGGUCUUGGACGAGUUCCCGGAAUGGCUGCAACGUUCCAUCGAUCGGAUCAAAAACACACAAUACCAAGUUGAACAGGAUCGCCAGCGAGAUUUUCGUUUCUUUAUUACGUUUCUACAGAUGAAACCAAUCAGCACAUUUGACAUGAAGGAUGCUCAAGGCUCGGCCAAACAUCGUCUGGUGUUGACUAACGUUCCGGAACAGAAUUUCAAUCCGCAAUUGGACGAGAAAGUCAUCAACAACGACCAUUCGGUUCGUCCAUUUCCAAUCUUCCGCUCAGCCGACAGCCUUUUUUCAUCAAAUACCCUGGGAUUCUUGAAGAUAUCGUGGCCAUAAACCAACCUCUACCAGCCAACUAAACACGACCGGAUGCUUUUCCAGCGCGAUAUCCGAAGCAAGACGAAAACAAUUAAAGCUCCAGCCUAUUUGGAGCCAUGUAUGACUUGAUGGCCAGCUGACUCAGAAAACGGCCAAGAAGAAGAGGAAAUUGAGCAGCGAUCUCCGCCCGUGUUGGAAACUUUGCGAAGCCGUCGGCCGUGCUGACGAGGACAGCGACGGAAUAAGUGACGAAACGGGCCAUUAAUCGCUGAUCUCACGGAUCACGCCACUUACGCCCGCCCCGAGCCGUUUCCGGAGUAUGUGUCGCAUUUCGAAGAGCUGAAGUGCAAGAACGAUUAAAUAAUCGUAGUUUACCAGCAGUGUCGUUGUGGAUUCACAUUUUUCAACCGAUGGUCCGUGUCGUUGGUCCAAAAUAAGCCCGAGGGCGCCCGAGGGUUUUUUAUUGACUCUUCCGAUCAGUAUAUGUUUCUCACCUUAUUUUGUUUUGUAAUCAAUAAUUUAAACUUAAAAAAUCGUGACUGUUCUCUGGAAAAAGAAUAAAAGUUUUUGGC
rnacentral:lncRNA from 1 species